rnacentral:rRNA from 1 species
UACGUAGGGGGCAAGCGUUGUCCGGAUUUACUGGGUGUAAAGGGUGCUCAGGCGGAUUCGUAAGUCAGUGGUGAAAUCCCGGAGCUUAACUCCGGAACUGCCAUUGAUACUGCGAGUCUCGAGUUUGGGAGAGGUAGAUGGAAUAUCUGGUGUAGCAGUGAAAUGCGUAGAUAUCAGAUAGAACACCAAUGGCGAAGGCAGUCUACUGGUCCAACACUGACGCUAAAGCACGAAAGUGUGGGUAGCAAACAGG